UUAAACCGAGCAUAGCAAAAGCCUUGCCAACGUUUACAUCUCUUGACGCGCCUAAAAAUUCACCCGGACAAAUGAUAAUAUAAAUCGGAAAUGAUGAUAAGAAUUCCCGUUUUUUUCAUUCUUCUUUUUUUUAACCCUCAAAUUUGUUGCAAAACCGUUUGUGUGACGACGUGAAUAAUAAAUUUCUGUCCGACAUCUUGCGUCAAAAUGUUUGAUCUUAUUUUUCUCUUUCAUUUGUAAAAUUUUUUACGGCAAUUAAAACAUGAUUGAUAAAUAAAGCUUGUGAUAUUGUAGCAUACCUGAGCAGCACAGUCGCUGUCUCGGGGACACGGAACACCUGAAAAAGAAGACAACCACCAACUCUAUCGAAUCCUGCACAACGAACUAGAUAACUCCAAACCAAAACGAGACACCUCAGUCGUGACGACCUUCAAGGACAAGGCGGCGGGAAUUCAAGGUCAGGCGGGGACUGGGUGAAGGCCGUCAUGACCUUGGCAAAGAGCUUCCGACCGUUACUCUACAUCUCGUGGUGUUUAUAAGCGACUGGAUUUCGAUCUCCGUUCAAAGCCCUUACUUUCUUCAUCUGCAUAAGUUGUUCAACAACUUGUAAGUGUCGUGCAUACGACGUUGCAAUAAAUUACAGGACGUACCUGUAGGCAUAAACGUUGGCCUUAGUGGUGUAUGAUGGAAAAUAAGACUAUUGUGUAACAGCCGUUAUGGCAAUUCCUUCAACCGAAAUAACUAACGAGACUAGUGGAAACAUCAAAGUCGAUCACAACCUUGAAUUCGAUCGCUGCAUGAUACGACAUGUGUGCGUACGUUCCUUGUGUAUUUACACUAUACGUAUUAUCUCGGUUCUCUGUUCAAUUUGGAUAUCCAUGAGGUCGGAGUUUGUAACGUUAAUGUAACGAUUGACUUGUAGAAAAAACAACGUAGCCAGUCA
rnacentral:lncRNA from 1 species